rnacentral:rRNA from 1 species
UACGUAGGGGGCAAGCGUUGUCCGGAAUCAUUGGGCGUAAAGCGCGUGUAGGCGGCUCGGUAAGUCCGCUGUGAAAGUCCGGGGCUCAACCCUCGAAUGCCGGUGGAAACUGUCGAGCUAGAGUGCGGAAGAGGCGAGUGGAAUUCCUGGUGUAGCGGUGAAAUGCGCAGAUAUCAGGAGGAACACCGAUUGCGAAGGCAGCUCGCUGGGACGUUACUGACGCUGAGACGCGAAAGCGUGGGGAGCAAACAGG